rnacentral:rRNA from 1 species
GAGUUUGAUCUUGGCUCAGAUUGAACGCUGGCGGCAGGCCUAACACAUGCAAGUCGAGCGGUAGAGAGAAGCUUGCUUCUCUUGAGAGCGGCGGACGGGUGAGUAAUGCCUAGGAAUCUGCCUGGUAGUGGGGGAUAACGCUCGGAAACGGACGCUAAUACCGCAUACGUCCUACGGGAGAAAGCAGGGGACCUUCGGGCCUUGCGCUAUCAGAUGAGCCUAGGUCGGAUUAGCUAGUUGGUGAGGUAAUGGCUCACCAAGGCGACGAUCCGUAACUGGUCUGAGAGGAUGAUCAGUCACACUGGAACUGAGACACGGUCCAGACUCCUACGGGAGGCAGCAGUGGGGAAUAUUGGACAAUGGGCGAAAGCCUGAUCCAGCCAUGCCGCGUGUGUGAAGAAGGUCUUCGGAUUGUAAAGCACUUUAAGUUGGGAGGAAGGGCAGUAAAUUAAUACUUUGCUGUUUUGUACGUUACCGACAGAAUAAGCACCGGCUAACUCUGUGCCAGCCGCCG